rnacentral:rRNA from 1 species
AUUGAACGCUGGCGGCAUGCCUUACACAUGCAAGUCGAACGGCAGCACGGGAGCAAUCCUGGUGGCGAGUGGCGAACGGGUGAGUAAUAUAUCGGAACGUGCCCAGUCGUGGGGGAUAACGCAGCGAAAGCUGUGCUGAUACCGCAUACGAUCUAUGGAUGAAAGCGGGGGAUCGCAAGACCUCGCGCGAUUGGAGCGGCCGAUAUCAGAUUAGCUAGUUGGUGAGGUAAAGGCUCACCAAGGCGACGAUCUGUAGCUGGUCUGAGAGGACGACCAGCCACACUGGAACGGAGACACGGUCCAGACUCCUACGGGAGGCAGCAGUGGGGAAUUUUGGACAAUGGGCGAAAGCCUGAUCCAGCAAUGCCGCGUGCAGGAUGAAGGCCUUCGGGUUGUAAACUGCUUUUGUACGGAACGAAACGGUGAGCUCUAAUACAGUUUGCUAAUGACGGUACCGUAAGAAUAAGCACCGGCUAACUACGUGCCAGCAACCGCCGUAA